rnacentral:rRNA from 1 species
UACAGAGGGGGCAAGCGUUGUUCGGAAUUACUGGGCGUAAAGGGCUCGUAGGCGGCCAACUAAGUCAGACGUGAAAUCCCUCGGCUUAACCGGGGAACUGCGUCUGAUACUGGAUGGCUUGAGUUUGGGAGAGGGAUGCGGAAUUCCAGGUGUAGCGGUGAAAUGCGUAGAUAUCAGGAGGAACACCAGUGGCGAAGGCGGUGCUCUGGGCCGGAACUGACGCUGAGGAGCGAAAGCGUGGGGAGCAAACAGG